rnacentral:lncRNA from 1 species
GGGGCAUAUGGGGUCAUAAUGCCCCAUAAUGGGGGCUUAUAGGAUCAUAUGGGGUUAUAUGGGGGCAUAUGGGGGCAUAUGGGGGCAUAUGGGGGCAUAUGGGGUCAUAAUGCCCCAUAAUGGGGGCUUAUAGGGUCAUAUGGGGGCAUAUGGGGGCAUAUGGGGUUGUAUGGGGCCAUAUGGGGUUGUAUGGGGUUAUAUGGGGUUAUAUGGGGUCCUAUGGGGUCUUAUGGGGUCAUAUAGCCCCCCUGCAAUGCUCAGUGAAUUGAGGCAGCGGGUCUGCAUCGAGCGCAAACCACUGCGGUUCCUAUCAGAGCGGCUCAGCUCGUUAUUACACACUGCCCCUCAUUUAUUGCCCCAUUACGUUAUUACCCCCAUUAUUCCCCACCAUAUAUUAAUUACCCCAUUAAUGACCCCAUUAAUUAAUGACCCCAUUAAUUAAUUACCCCAUUAAUUAAUUACCCCGUUAAUUAAUUAAUGACCCAGGUUCCUGUCCGAGCGGCUCAGCUCGUUAUUACACACUGCCUCCCAUUAAUACCCAUUACCUUAUUACCCUCCCAUGUACUGCCCCCAUUAAUUACCCCAUUAAUGACCCCAUUAAUUAAUUACCCCAUUAAUUAAUUACCCCAUUAAUUAAUUAUCCAGGUUCCUGUCCGAGCGGCUCAGCUCCCUAUUACACACUGCCCCCAUUAUUACCCCCAUUACUUUAUUAACCCCCCCAUGUUACUGCCCCCAUUAUUACCAUUAAUUACC